rnacentral:rRNA from 1 species
AACGAUAAAGCGGGUGAAAAGCCCGCUCGCCGGAAGACCAAGGGUUCCUGUCCAACGUUAAUCGGGGCAGGGUGAGUCGACCCCUAAGGCGAGGCCGAAAGGCGUAGUCGAUGGGAAACGGGUUAAUAUUCCCGUACUUGGUGUUACUGCGAAGGGGGGACGGAGAAGGCUAUGUUGGCCGGGCGACGGUUGUCCCGGUUUAAGCGUGUAGGUGUGUGUUCCAGGUAAAUCCGGUUCACUUUAACACUGAGGCGUGACGACGAGGCACUACGGUGCUGAAGCAACAAAUGCCCUGCUUCCAGGAAAAGCCUCUAAGCAUCAGGUAACAUCAAAUCGUACCCCAAACCGACACAGGUGGUCAGGUAGAGAAUACCAAGGCGCUUGAGAGAACUCGGGUGAAGGAACUAGGCAAAAUGGUGCCGUAACUUCGGGAGAAGGCACGCUGACACGUAGGUGAAGUGAUUUACUCAUGGAGCUGAAGUCAGUCGAAGAUACCAGCUGGCUGCAACUGUUUAUUAAAAACACAGCACUGUGCAAACACGAAAGUGGACGUAUACGGUGUGACGCCUGCCCGGUGCCGGAAGGUUAAUUGAUGGGGUCAGCGCAAGCGAAGCUCCUGAUCGAAGCCCCGGUAAACGGCGGCCGUAACUAUAACGGUCCUAAGGUAGCGAAAUUCCUUGUCGGGUAAGUUCCGACCUGCACGAAUGGCGUAAUGAUGGCCAGGCUGUCUCCACCCGAGACUCAGUGAAAUUGAACUCGCUGUGAAGAUGCAGUGUACCCGCGGCAAGACGGAAAGACCCCGUGAACCUUUACUAUAGCUUGACACUGAACAUUGAGCCUUGAUGUGUAGGAUAGGUGGGAGGCUUUGAAGUGUGGACGCCAGUCUGCAUGGAGCCGACCUUGAAAUACCACCCUUUAAUGUUUGAUGUUCUAACGUGGACCCGUAAUCCGGGUUGCGGACAGUGUCUGGUGGGUAGUUUGACUGGGGCGGUCUCCUCCUAAAGAGUAACGGAGGAGCACGAAGGUUGGCUAAUCCUGGUCGGACAUCAGGAGGUUAGUGCAAUGGCAUAAGCCAGCUUGACUGCGAGCGUGACGGCGCGAGCAGGUGCGAAAGCAGGUCAUAGUGAUCCGGUGGUUCUGAAUGGAAGGGCCAUCGCUCAACGGAUAAAAGGUACUCCGGGGAUAACAGGCUGAUACCGCCCAAGAGUUCAUAUCGACGGCGGUGUUUGGCACCUCGAUGUCGGCUCAUCACAUCCUGGGGCUGAAGUAGGUCCCAAGGGUAUGGCUGUUCGCCAUUUAAAGUGGUACGCGAGCUGGGUUUAGAACGUCGUGAGACAGUUCGGUCCCUAUCUGCCGUGGGCGCUGGAGAACUGAGGGGGGCUGCUCCUAGUACGAGAGGACCGGAGUGGACGCAUCACUGGUGUUCGGGUUGUCAUGCCAAUGGCACUGCCCGGUAGCUAAAUGCGGAAGAGAUAAGUGCUGAAAGCAUCUAAGCACGAAACUUGCCCCGAGAUGAGUUCUCCCUGAGAC